rnacentral:rRNA from 1 species
UACGUAGGUGGCAAGCGUUAUCCGGAUUUAUUGGGCGUAAAGGGAACGCAGGCGGUCUUUUAAGUCUGAUGUGAAAGCCUUCGGCUUAACCGGAGUAGUGCAUUGGAAACUGGGGGUCUUGAGUGGGCGAGAAGAAGGCGGAAUGCGUGGUGUAGCGGUGAAAUGCAUAGAUAUCACGCAGAACCCCGAUUGCGAAGGCAGCCUUCCGGCGCCCUACUGACGCUGAGGCACGAAAGUGCGGGGAUCGAACAGG